rnacentral:rRNA from 1 species
GACGAACGCUGGCGGCGUGCUUAACACAUGCAAGUCGAACGGAAGGGGCCUGCUUUUGCGUGGUGCUCGCGUGGCGAACGGGUGUGUAACCCGUGAGUCUCCUUCCCUGGACGUUGGGAUAUCUUCAGACGACUGCGGAUAAUACCUGCUAGGAGCUCCUGCUGCAUGGUGGUGUUUGGAACGUUUAGGCGGUUGUAGAUGGACGCGCGGCUUAUCAGCUUGUUGGUUGGGGAGUUGCUUACCAAGGCUUUGACGGGUGGUCGGCAUGAGAGGGUGAACGGCGACAAUGGGACUGAGGUACGGAGCAGAGGGCAACGGGAGGCAGUAGUGGGGAAUAUUGUACAAUGGGGCGAAGCCUGAUGAAGAAACGCCGCGUGUGGGAUGAACGUUUACGGGUUGGAAACGGCAGUAACCUGUGACGAAGCGUGAGUGACGGUAAUAGCAAAAGAAGCACCGGCUAACUACGUG